rnacentral:rRNA from 1 species
UAAAUUGAGAGUUUGAUCCUGGCUCAGGACGAACGCUGGCGGCGUGCCUAAUACAUGCAAGUCGAACGAGAAUUUCUUACACCGAGUGCUUGCACUCACCG